CUGAAACAUUUGCAGGUUUUACUGAAAAGGGAGAAAGACUGGGUUGUGGACAUUAUUCACUACUAAGAAGCAUCAAAUCUAGAGUUGAACAUGUUAAUCGAGAUAAUACAACACAUAGACUUUGUCAAAUAAAGAGAACCAGGAAUGAGGACGACUGCAGUCCCAACAGUAAUGCAACCUCACCUAAAAAAAGUUAGAUGCUUUGUUGAUAGCUAUGGUUGUAUAAAUUGGCAGCCACUUGAACUUCCUGAGGGGGAAACGCUGCUGGCUUCUUUAGAGGAAACGAAAGACAUCCUGUUAACAAUUUUUAAUUCACAAGGACCUGGAGCUGUGGAGAGACCUGAUGUGGAUGACUCAGACACUGAGAUUCAUCCUAUAGCUGUCAGCGAUCAUGGUCCUGUAUCUUUAACACUAAUGCACAAGAAUAAUACUACGCCAAGAAAAAACUGGAUAUUUAAUAUAUCACUACUUAAAGAUGAAGACUUUAUUAAAUAUUUUAAAAAAGAGUGGACUUCAUAUUUGGACUAUAAUGACACUCCCGAAACAUCAGCUUCUGUUCUAUGGGAAGCAGGGAAAGCUGUGAUGAGAGGUAAAAUAAUUUCUUUCUCAUCACAUAAAAAGAAAAAAGAAAACAAAAAUAUUCAGGAAUUAGAAAAAAACAUCAAAUCACUAGAAGAAGCCUACGUGUCCCACCGAGAUCAGGAAACAUUGAACAAAAUACGCAAAACAAAACUAGAAUUAAAUGAGAUAAUUUGAUAAAAAAACAAAAUUCUUAGUACAAAGACUACGCCUACAAAAUUAUGAACAUGGUAAUAAAUCCGGUCAAUUUCUAGCAAACCAGCUAAAAAUAAAUAAAGAAAAAACAACUAUAUGUGCUGUUCAAGAUUCAUCUGGGAACACAAUAUAUGAUCCGAUACAAAUAAACAACAUUUUCAGGGAUUUCUAUAAAACGUUGUAUUCACCACAAAUAAACCCAUCUAAAAAAGAAAUUGAUCAGUUUUUGGACAACAUAACUCUUCCAAAAUUAUUGGACACUCAAGCAAUGGCACUGGAUUCACCAUUGACACCAGGUGAACUCCAGGAAGCUCUGAUAAGUAUGCCCAAUAAUAAGGCUCCAGGUCCAGACGGCUUUCCUGCAGAAUUCUACAAAGAAUUCUGGUCGAUUCUAGCACCAGUUUUCUACAGAACGUUGUUGGAAAUCAAAGAAAAGGGCAGACUUCCAUCAAAUAUGAAUUCUGCAAACAUUAAUCUCCUGCUAAAACCAGGCAAAGACCCUGUAUAUCCC
ensembl:lncRNA